GACGAACGCUGGCGGCGUGCUUAACACAUGCAAGUCGAACGGAAAGGCCCUGCUUUUGUGGGGUGCUCGAGUGGCGAACGGGUGAGUAACACGUGAGUAACCUGCCCUUGACUUUGGGAUAACUUCAGGAAACUGGGGCUAAUACCGGAUAGGAGCUCCUGCUGCAUGGUGGGGGUUGGAAAGUUUCGGCGGUUGGGGAUGGACUCGCGGCUUAUCAGCUUGUUGGUGGGGUAGUGGCUUACCAAGGCUUUGACGGGUAGCCGGCCUGAGAGGGUGACCGGCCACAUUGGGACUGAGAUACGGCCCAGACUCCUACGGGAGGCAGCAGUGGGGAAUAUUGCACAAUGGGCGGAAGCCUGAUGCAGCAACGCCGCGUGCGGAAUGACGGCCUUCGGUUUGUAAACCGCUUUCGCCUGUGACGAAGCGUGAGUGACGGUAAUGGGUAAAGAAGCACCGGCUAACUACGUG
rnacentral:rRNA from 1 species